GCCUUCGUAGCUCAGGGGAUAGAGCGUUCGCCUCCUAAGCGAAGGGUCGCGCGUUCGAAUCGCGCCGAGGGUGCCA
rnacentral:tRNA from 1 species